rnacentral:piRNA from 1 species
UGUAUACACAAAAAAAAACUA